rnacentral:rRNA from 1 species
AUUGAACGCUGGCGGCAGGCUUAACACAUGCAAGUCGAGCGGGGGAAGGUAGCUUGCUACUGGACCUAGCGGCGGACGGGUGAGUAAUGCUUAGGAAUCUGCCUAUUAGUGGGGGACAACAUCUCGAAAGGGAUGCUAAUACCGCAUACGUCCUACGGGAGAAAGCAGGGGAUCUUCGGACCUUGCGCUAAUAGAUGAGCCUAAGUCGGAUUAGCUAGUUGGUGGGGUAAAGGCCUACCAAGGCGACGAUCUGUAGCGGGUCUGAGAGGAUGAUCCGCCACACUGGGACUGAGACACGGCCCAGACUCCUACGGGAGGCAGCAGUGGGGAAUAUUGGACAAUGGGGGGAACCCUGAUCCAGCCACGCCGCGUGUGUGAAGAAGGCCUUAUGGUUGUAAAGCACUUUAAGCGAGGAGGAGGCUACUUUAGUUAAUACCUAGAGAUAGUGGACGUUACUCGCAGAAUAAGCACCGGCUAACUCUGUGCCAGCAGCCGCAGUAA